UUGUUGUCCUGACACCACACUGCCAGGUCUCUGACCUCCUUCCUGUAGGCUGUCUCCUCGUGACGGUGAUCCAGCCUACCAUCGUUGUGUCGUCGGCAAACUUAAUGAUGGUGUUGGUGUCAUGCAGUCAUGGGUGAACAGGGUACGCACCCUGGUGACUUCCAUGAAUACUUUAAUUUCUUUCUCUACCUCUGUUUUAGUUCCUUUCCAUAUGAUAUUUACAAAAUACGCACAUAAAGAGAUGCAUAAGGAAUAACACACUGAAGCGACCACUUAGCCACUUGUACUGUUCUCUAAUAAGACGACUUCCUGAUGAAGACAUUCAGACACAGUAUCUCUGAGUAAAUCAUUUUAAAAAGUCACAGAGAGCAGCAAAGUUCAAUAUUGUGCUGAGUUAUUAAAGAGUGACUACCCCUAAAAAGCAACUAAUCCCUUUGGAAAUGGUCUAUGUGGCAUCGAUAUGAGUCAGAAACAUUUAUUCUAGUGUGUAAAUAGCGUCAUUUUGGUCAUUAAGUCAGUUUUGUCUAAAACAAAGUUUGGAACCUCAGUGCAUCACAAACAGUAAAUGAAGGUUGGGUUUGGAUCAAAAUUAUGUCAGCAAAUAAUAUCAUGCCCCCUUUUGCCAAGUUCCAUGUGUAAAUCGCCCCUCCGCUUCCCUUCAUUGAAUGGGGCUCCGUUGUUUCAUCAUUCCCAAUGCGUUCAAAGAAAAGCAGACUGAAAAGCCCUGUAUGGAUUGACCAUGCCUCCACAGCCAAAGUGCUAUGGUUUUCAUUCUUUGCCGAAGGACCGGAGUAUGCGGAAUGACUUGUAGGAGUUCGUAGUCCCAAUGUUUGCACCAGUAACGCUAGCUUGGUGUGCAACGACCGGUGGUGGCCCUCCCAGUCAACACCACCUCAUAAUAUGAGGAAGUACACUGUUUAUAAGGAUUGCCUGCUGCAGUUGUUCAAGAGAUAUUCCGUUUGCAGCUGAACAUGCAACAAGGGGACCCUCAGCAUCACGCAGACAUACCCUCACUGUGAGCAUUGCUAUAAAUGGGACAGGAAGGACACUUGAAUCAGUAUCUUUGAUGAGGGGCCAGGAGCUGAUCUACACUGCCAUGCCCAUCAAGGGGGCACUGGCAAAGUCCUUACCUCCAGCCUCACCUCCUGGCUGUUCACCAACGGUCGUUGAUGGGGAGACCAGAAUUGGACGCAUCUAUGGAGACAGAACUUCAAGACUUGCAAGAUGAUGUGAUGAAGUUCAGACCGACAGACAGGCUUGAUAUUGAUGUCUCGGAAUGGAGAGAGACUUGGCAUGCAACACAUCCACAAUAUGGGACUGAAGGAGAUUAGUAAAUAUACAGUACAGCAGAAAUGUCCAGUAUUUGCAACACCCUUUUCAUUCUAUGUGUCACUGAUUAACUUUGCCUCAACUCUGCCUAUUUCUACAGAUGGAGAGGACUACAGGUGCUUUUGCCAAAUGCCAGACCUGCUCAAACUUCAACAUAGUACCUGUUUGUGUGUCAGAUAUUACUCAUCCUAACUGCCAUUGGUAAUUAAACAGUGACUAUCUCUGUAUGUGUUCUCAGAAAAAUAAAAAGAGCCAGCACAUAGAGACUUGCAAGAUGAUGUCCAGACUGGCUUUAUACUGAUGUCACUGAAUUGACAGAG